rnacentral:lncRNA from 1 species
CAACAUGCUGAGUCUAGGUACCAGAAAAAUUCAGACAAGUAGUAGGCAAAAUUAUGCAAGCGGAAGUGUAAAGAAGAAUAACACACGAUCACUAAAAGAAAUUUGCUAGAUAAACAGGGCUAACAGGCCCCAGUCCCGCCAUGGGUGGGGUCGGUCAGGGGGCCCGUCAGACUCUCUGUUUUUCUAGCAAGUCUCUUACUAAAAUGUUAUUUUCGUACAAAUAAGCAAUUGAAAAGAUAUUUAAAGAACAAUCUUCAAGGAUUUAAUUAUAUUACUCAAACAACCGUAACCACACACCCAUGUCCUAUGUUAUACAAACAAAAACAAAAACAAACUCAAAAACUGAGAAUAUCCAAGCUCAACAAUGAUAGCUCAGCAUCUCAUUUCAACUAUGUGUCAACUGCAGAUUGGCUUUCAAUCUGCAAACAAAAAGCAACAACAAAAUAUGGAUAAUCUCUUAAAUCCACUCUUCAAUUUCAUUUUCCUAGAAAUGGAAAUCUGUUGGGAUUAUUGGCCCCAGAUUUGAUUUUACCUCAAUGAUCUUUUAGUUUCAGCCACUCAGUCAAACCAAAAACAUCUAUCAUUUGGCAAAAAUCACAACAUCUCAAACAGUAAAUAAAAUGCAGAAAAUGUAAAGAAUAAGAACACCAAAAAAUGGUCACCCAGUUCACCCAAAUAAGGGCUAAUCUGGGGGGCUCAGGAUCAGCCCAAUCCACUAUGUAAAACCAGCCUUCCAAAGAGAUCAAUGUACAAAGGAACCAAUCUGACUUUUUCUUAAGGUUCUAAUCAUAGAUCACAUAAAGAUCUCAAGAACCAGAUAUAAGAAUCAACCCUAAACUUGACAAGAACUAACACAGCUAAACUAGUGCACCACACUAAAAAAUAACAGAUUGAAACCUUUCUUUCAAGUCUACAACACAAUAGUUAUACAAUUCUUUAACCUCUCCAAUAAUCACAGUGAAACAUAAUGGAAAUUGGAAGAAUUUCACAGAGAGAGAGAGAGAGAGAGCCACCUUUUAAAAAUCUCCAGAAAGAAUGAGAACUCUCUUGCCACUAAAAAUAGGUAGCACAAGAGUCAUAAAAACCGUAUGUAAUCAAGAUUAAAUCCUAGCCACACAUUAUGAUCCAAUGCCUCACAAUGGAGUUGAAGAAGCACAAUCCUCAUUUUAGUAAAAUAACCAAUUGGUGGUUGCCAUGUGGCCCUCCAAACCAAUUAAAAAAGACAAAGUAGCACUUCUUUUAAAUAACUCAAAAGUUUCCAAUUUAGUGAAACACGCCUUUUACACUUUCAAUCUUCACCUUGUUUCACUAAAUACACCGACUCUCUUAGUUGCAUGGUUUACAUAGUAAGACUGAUCAUCAUCAUUGCCCGGUACCUGCAAAAGAAUUAUCCAUUAUCAAUAAACGAAAUUGAUAAACCAAAAUUUAAACAUACUAGUUGAAAGCAUUUUAAGUCUCAUAUCAAAUGGACAUACAUCAACUUGAAUUUUCUCAAGAUUUAACUUCACCUGAAGCUAUCUUAUCCUUUUAGAAGAUGAUACUUCACCUUAACAUAUGUUUACCUCUCAUAAUGAGCAAAAUUUAUAAGACUAACAAUGAGAUUAAUGCAAGUAUCAUGCAGAAAAUUCAAAUUACACAAAAUCCCUUUCAACCAAAUCCAUUCUUUCACAAAUUUCAGAUUUAUGCAGUCAUUUUCCAAUGUAAAGAAGUAGGUAAUAAUGGAUUUCAUGUGAUCUUUGCCACGCACAAAGUCAACAUCCACACAUCCUUUAAGGAUCAACCUAUCAAGCAUUUUCAAUUUACAAACAAUGUCAUUCUUCACCUCAAAGCCUAGUAGUUGACUCUUAUGGAUAUUUUCCCUCAAUUCCCAAUGUAGGAAAGCAGUUUUAACAUCUAGUGGUUCAAAUUCACAAUUGAAUUGAAUAAUGCUAAAAACAAUCUUACUAUUUUAUAUUCAAUGACAAGGGAAAAUAUCUCAAUAUAGUCAAACCCCUCUUUCAGUUUGUAAAUCCACUUACAUUGUACCGUUCUUUGACCAUUAGGCAAAUUAACCAAACUCCCUCUAGCCCUAACCAAUUUGUAAUGCUGGAUAGAAUUCUCUUCAAUUAUUGGGGUGUUAGUUUCCUUUUCAUUUUCACCAUGAGGUACAUCAACCUCAUCAAUUACAGGCUCAUUCUCAUCGGAAUGAGUGAAGUCAUAUUUUGCCAACUUCACCUCAUUCUGAAAUUUCUUGUGAGAUUCAAUUUCCUGAGAAUCAUCAUGUUUUCUAAAUUUUAAACAAGGCAUUUCAGAUUCAUUAAACAUAACAUCCUUGCUGUUAAUGAUCUUAAUAUCAGGUUCCCCUAAAAUCCACAACCUAUAACCUUUAAUCCCCUUAGGAUAGCCUAGCAUAACACAUCUAAUAUCCCUAGGCACCAACUUGCCCUCAGUUUGGCGUGUAUAUGCCAUAUACACAAACACUCUAAUAUGUGCUAAAUUUGGUGGCUUCCCUGUCCAUAGUUCUUGAGGAGUCUUAAACUCGACAUAACUAGAUAGAGAUCUAUUAAUCAAAUAUGCUGCUUUGCAUAAUGCCUCAGCCCAAAACCCUUUAGCAAGUCUUGAACUGACUAACAUGCACCUAGCCUUAUUCAUCAAAGUCUUAUUGAUUCUUUUCGCUACCCCAUCAUGUUGAAGUGUGUACUUAACCGUCCUUUGUCUCAUGAUUCCCUUUUGCUUACAAAAGUUAUCAAAUUCCGCGUUAAAAACUCUAUACCAUUAUUCGUUCUUAGAGUUUUUAACCUUUUAUCCAAUUGAUUUUCCACAAUUUUAAGCCAAGUCCGAAAUUUAUGAAAAGUCUCAAAUUUAGCCUUUAAGGGGGUAAACCCAUACUUUUUUAGAGUAAUCAUCUACUAAGGAUAGAAAGUACUUAUUUCCACCAAAGUUGGGAUGCUCUUCAGGCUCCCACAAAUCUGCAUGGACAUAAUCCAAAUGUCUUUUCGCUAUAUGUGAACCCACCUCAAAACACACCCUGUGAGACUUUCCCAACAAACAAGUCUCAUAAAAAUUUAAAGGUUUAAUAAGACCUUUACCAUGUAACUUUUGGUCACUCAAAAAUGUUUCAAACAUUUAUUUCCUAUAUGCCCCAUUCUUUUGUGCCACAAUUUAGAUGUUUCAUCAAUAACAAUAAGGUGAUUAGCUUCUUGUGAAGUAAUUGCCUCACCCAUUAGGUAGUAAAACCCAUUUUUCUUAGGUCCCAGAUUUGAUUUUACCUCAAUGAUCUUAUAUUUUCAGUCACUCAAUCAAACCAAAAACAUCUAUCAUUCGGAAAAAAUCACGCAUCUCAAACAGUAAAUAAAAUGAAGAAAAUGUAAAGAAUAAUAACACCAAAAAUGGUCACCCAGUUCACCCAAAUAAGGGUUAAUCUGGGGGGCUCAAGAUCAACCCAAUCCUCUACGUAAAACCAGCCUUCCAAAGAGAUCAAUGUACAAAGGAACCAAUCUGACUUUCUCUUAAGGUUCUAAUCAUAGAUCACACAAAGAUCUCAAGAACCAGAUACAAGAAUCAACCCUAAACUUGACAAGAACUAACACAGCUAAACCAGUGCACCACAGUAAAAAAUAACAGACCGAAACCUUUCUUUCAAGUCUAUAACACAAGGGUUAUACAAUUCUUUAACCUCUCCAAUAAUCACAGUGAAACAUAAUAGAAAUUGGAAGAAUUUCA